rnacentral:lncRNA from 1 species
CUCCUUCUCUUAACCACCGUGUUUUUUGUUUGUUUCUCAGAAACACUAAGCAAUGGCAUGAAUGUGUGUGUGUGUGUAUGUGUGUGUGUGUAAGAUGGUAUUACAGAUUCAAUUCACUAAAUAGUUUCCUUAAAUAUUAAUUUUGAGUUUUUCAAGGAGAGAUCAGAAAGUAAUUUUCAAAAAUAGCAGCCCAGAUACAUGUCUUCUCUUUCCUUGCUUCCAAAAUUGCGAUAGUA